CUUGGUCAUUUAGAGGAAGUAAAAGUCGUAGCAAGGUUUCCGUAAGUGAACCUGUGGAAGGAUCAUUAGCGAGUAUGGCCCUCACGGGUCUAAUCCAUCAUAAACACCUUUGUGAACCAGUCAGGGGGACUCGGCCGUGAAAGCCCAGGCGAUUAGCGGAAGGGCCCUCCUUUGCAAACCCGUCUAGAAGUCUUGAAAGUACUUUUGUAUAACCUAGUAAAACUUAUAGCAACGGAUCUCUUGGCUCUCGUAUCGAUGAAGAACGCAGCGAAAUGUGAUAAGUAAUGUGAAUUGCAGAAUUCAGUGAAUCAUCGAAUCUUUGAACGCAUCUUGCGCUCUUUGGUAUUCCGAAGAGCAUGUCUGUCUGAGUGUCACGAAACUCUCAACCUCCUUUCCUUUGUGAUGGGCUGGUUGGAUCAUGGGCGCUUGCCGGCCAGGUCGGCUCGCCUGAAAUGCAUUUGCGAUGUUGUGUCCUUGUGAGUUGGCCCGACUAGGCGUGAUGGUAACAACGUUCGUCUAGGAUCCCGCUUCGGGCGAGGAGCCGCUCCUGUUGGGCGUUUGCCUUCGCAUACACACUCAUAUCUUUGGUUUAGACCUCAGAUCAGGCAGGAUUACCCGCUGAACUUAAGCAUAUCAAUAAGCGGAGGA
rnacentral:rRNA from 1 species